rnacentral:lncRNA from 13 species
UCAAUUUUUUCAGCAGAGAGGUCUAUAAGUAAAUGAUGUUAAAGGAUUUAUGUUCUUUCUGUGUGUGUGUGUGUGUGUGUGUGUGUGUGUGUCUGUGUGUGGUGUUGAGGGCCCUGAGGGUUCUUAGGAGGCCAUGUGUGUAUGAGUCACCAUCAGCAUGGGAGGGGAGCUCAGGGCUGCAGAGCUGAUGCUCUCUUAGUUUACUAGGAGCUCUCUUCACCUUCCCCUCCCGCAUGGAGAAAAGAGCAGCAGCCACAGCUACGCUAGUGAUUAACUUUGGAAGGAAAUUAAGGCUUGACCGCUGCUGCUGACCUGAGGGGAGAGUCACCUCCAAGCAGACUGCGCUGGCUCAAGAACAUGGAGUGAGCCGCAGCAGGUGGAAGCACUCAGAGAGGGCGCUGCUAGCAUCAGGUCCGGAGGGGUUCCACUCGAGGUUCGACGCAGAGAAGGAAGGAGGAGGAGAAGAGAAUAAGAGGGAGAGAAGAAAGCAAAAAAUUUUGGCACCAGUCAACAGACGUCUAAAGACGCUCGUAUGGAGGGGCUUGAAGAGAACCGAAGAAGCUGGCCAUGCUCCCACCCGCCUUAUGAGAGGCUCAGACAUAGCCUUGAACUAUCCCUGGGACACCCAACUCUUCCAAGCUAUUCAGUGAGUGAUGAGAAAACUAAGCUGUGGAACAGACUGUUACCUGCCCAGGAUGAGACAGCAAGCUCAGAUGAGACUUCUGACUUCCUGAUCCAGGUUAGGAUUCUUUCCUUUUUUCUAAGUCAAAUGGACCAGUUGUUACUUCAGCUAUUUUUACUCUCCUAAGUUUUGUUUCCAUAUGAUGCCCCAUAAUGGGUGUACUGUAUGUGUGCUGCCAUAGGUUUUGAGAAAUAUUUAAUCUCUGAAGGGGAUUUUAAAAGUCACCUGGCCCAUAAUACAUUUUUCCCUCUAAUUAUCAAUAUUAUGAUCUGUCUUUCUUGUAGUCAUUCUGUUCCCUUGGUGAUCUCCUAAACAAAAUAGAAAUGUGGCAGGUAAAUUGAGCAAUUAGUAUGUGUGUUUUCCCAUUUCAGUAUCAUUCCUUUUCUGUUCCAAGAAGGUCAUUGGACUGCCUGGCCCCAGGGGGAGGUUUCUUUUGUUUUCAGGAGCCCUGAGGGAGGUGAGGACUGUGCUAAAGGGGAGGAUGGAGCAGCACAGCCAAGAAGAUGGGGUGGAGGGGUCCCCAAAUGGGAAAUGCAUGGAGCUCCUUGGUCUACAGUUCCUAUGGAGAGGGUGGGGCAGGCAGUGGAAGUCUAGCUAUGGGUGGUCCUUGGCAGUAGACAAGACCCCCAGCUCAUUUCCUACCCAAAGAGAAACCAGGGAUGCUGGAUUUCAGAAUCUCUUAUUGGCUUGGCCAGAGGAACCUCAGUUUUAAUCAGAAGUCCAAAUAUCAAAGCUCCUUCCUCCUAGCAUUGAGCUGUGCUUGAGAUCCCUGGGAUGUUCACAAAACCCUGCAGGGUGUGUGGGAAGGGCCUCGUAUUAAUUAUCUCUCACUUUGUGAUAACCACCCCAUGACUCUGUGACUUAAUGCAACAAAAAUCAUUUCUUUUGCUCAUGAAUCUACAAUUGAGGUUAGUCUCCUCUCUGCUCCACCCCUGGUCAGCUGGAGAAGCUUAAUUUUGGGCUGGAUAAUGUGCUUUCAAACUGGCUUAGCAUCUAUCUGGCUGGCAAGUCGGUUCUGGCCGUUGGCUGGGAGCUCUGCUAGGGCCAUGGGCUGAGGAUCUCAGAUCCACCCUACACAGGCCUCUCCAAAGGCUGCUUGGGCUUCUUCUCACAGCCUUGGCUGGUC